GAUGAAGAACGCAGUGAACUGCGAUAAGUAAUGUGAAUUGCAGAAUUCAGUGAAUCAUCGAGUCUUUGAACGCACAUUGCGCCCCCUGGCAUUCCGGGGGGCAUGCCUGUCCGAGCGUCAUUGCUGCCCUUCAAGCCCGGCUUGUGUGUUGGGUCGUCGUCCCCCCCGGGGGACGGGCCCGAAAGGCAGCGGCGGCACCGCGUCCGGUCCUCGAGCGUAUGGGGCUUUGUCACCCGCUCGAUUAGGGCCGGCCGGGCGCCAGCCGGCGUCUCCAACCUUCUAUUUUACCAGGUUGACCUCGGAUCAGGUAGGGAUACCCGCUGAACUUAAGCAUAUCAAUAAGCGGAGGC
rnacentral:misc_RNA from 1 species